ensembl:misc_RNA Metazoa_SRP Metazoan signal recognition particle RNA
GCUGGGUAUGGUGGCUCAUGCCUGUAAUCCCAGCACUUAGGGAGGCUGAGGUGGGAGAAUCGCUUGAGCCCAGGAAUUUGAGAUCAGCCUGAGCAACAUAGGGAGACCCUGUCUUUACAAAAAAUAAAAAUAAUUAGCUGGGCUGGUGGUGCAUGUCUGUAGUUCCAGCUAUUUGAGGGGCUGCAGAGGGAAGCUCUUCUGAGCCCAGGAGUUUGAGGCUACAGUGAGCUAUGAUGGUGCUCUGCAUUCCAGCCUGGGCAGCAGAGCGAGACCCUGUCUCU